CAACACAUGUAAACAACACAUGUAAACAACACAUGUAAACAACACAUGUAAACAACACAUGUAAACAACACAUGUAAAGAGGAACAACACAUGUAAAGAGGAACAACACAUGUAAAGAGGAACAUGCUCUUUAAAGUGGCAUGCUUUUGAAAGGGUAACAAAACUUAAGGUGUUUUCAACCAAAAACCGACAAGUGGAUUGAUACCAAAAUACACACUUAACAAAUUGCUGAACUAAUGCAUUCAUGACAGUUAAAGGCUAUUACAUUUACCAGAAACACGAAGAGGUUUGAAAGAAAAGAUAGCUUAAUGUUAAAGCUGAAAGUAGGUGAGAGAGAGAGAGAGAGAGAGAGAGAGAGAGAGAGAGAAAUCACAGGUUAAACUCUGUGUUGAAGUCAAAAUGGAGCUGUGAAUAGAUCAUCUGAAGUUGUGAGCGUAAAGGGACCUGUGUCUGAAAUCAGAGUACAGAAGUGAAUUACGGUGAUGGGAAGUCUGUAAGUGGAUUCUGAUAUCACAGCACAAGUUGAACUCUCUAAUGUGAAUAUCGAGGGAAUCAAUAGCAGGCGGACGAUGCACGUGACAAUUUGGUCAAAUUCAUCCAUCAGUGGUGAGAAUAUUGUCAGUCCGUCAGACGGCAUUCCUACAGUCUGUGAGAUUCCCAUAACAAAUAGCACUGCUAAUUGUCUCCGGAUACAGCGGAGAGUUAUAGAGGAAGCAGUGAUGCGGCGGACGUCUGCCAAUCUUAUCGUAAUCCUUAUGUCACGUGGCUAUUUUUAGGUCUUUAUAGCUGUCAUGUUAAAGGCCACCGUUUCUUGUGGAGCACAAGAAAUACUAUAUCAGAUGGAAAGGUUUUGGAAACAAAUUUCGUUUGUUGUAAAUUUUCGUUAUGACGCUAACAUAAAACACAUUGCUCCGUCACGUUGGAUGGUUUUGAUUUGCAGAAAGAAACCAAAAAAAAAAAAAAAAAAACAAAAAAAAAAAUAAAUAAAUAAAAAGAUGGUACCAGCGAGAGCGCAUUUAUUAAUCCAGUCAUUUGUAAAAGAUGGAGCUGCGAAGAUUUGUUAGUUCUGUAACAGUAAACUUCUUUUCCCCUCCUUUUUUUAACUAAAGAUUAUCGGAUCGUUAAAGAUUAAUUAUAACAAAAAUGCUUAAGAGGAAUUACUUCAUACAUUGCAGACUGGGGCCAAAGUGAAGCACUGCACUUGUAGACUGUCGAUUUGGGAUAAAAACGAACUGAAUAAUUAAAUAUGGAAUUCCUUUAUUUUGAUUUAACACGUCAAGCCUUAUCUUCAGAUACCAUGUAGCAUUUUCCACCACGAAACCUCUAAACAGCAGAGAAAAUCAAUUAUUCCCAUUCGUUUCUAAAAAAAAAAAAAAAAUUCCAUUAUAACACGACCGAAUCCUUGAAAUGUUAAGGGAUAAAAGCUAAAAAUAUAUAUGCCUCUUGAAUACAGAAUGGUUUGACUUGUCAUGGGCAAGUCGUUUAAAUCGUUUGAGUUUUGUAGUCACAAAUUAUGUCCUAUUAUGACGUCACAUGUAGAACCAAGAUUAGCGGUUUUGAGACUACCGGUACGACCACAGGUAACUGUAGAGUUCCUCCGCUACAUAGAACACUUUGAUGGAGGCAUACAGCUAGGGCACUUUAACCCUUCUCGCAUAUCUUUGUUUUGUUUUUCAGAUUAACAUGAUAAACAGUUUUUAAUAAGUAAAAGGUUUCCAAAUCAUUUUUCAUACAUGUAUAAACCUGACAAAAGGUUUUUUUAAAAAAAAGUAAAAGGUAACCUAUUGUUAAUUUAAGAAUUAUCAUUAUAUGUCCGUAUACAGUUCUCAAAUUAAGCACUGAAUGAUAAGACCUGGUGUUAGAAAUAUAAGAGCGGAUCCAACGAUUAGCGAUACUUUGAAGGCGGGUACUGCGGUCCUGGAAUACAGCAGCUGUGGUUGUCUAAUUAUCUAUUUAUUUGUGUGAAAAUUAUACCCUUAUCCAAUCCUAACUCUUGUCGUGGUCUCUCCCUCAGAGAACAAAGAUAUCUUAAUCACGAAUGAUUCACAUCCGCGGUUUCGUUUAUUUUUUGACGAAGAUGCCGUGAUGCGCAAGUGAUCUUCCAUUUUACAUUUAAUCCUUUAUUUGUGUUUCUAUAAGUUUUUGUCUCAUAGUCACCAUUUCUAUAAAUUACUCCAUACUUUCCAUGUUCUCAUAUUCCCAUGAUGCAAACAAUGUAGACAUUUAUUUUUGAAAUAAUACGGUAACGAAAUAUUUAUAUGUCAAUUAAACAACUUUAUAACAGGUCCCACAAAAAUUUUAAACAGACACGCUUAUUUUGGUCUGGAUUUUGAUGAACAUUGUUUUGUUCACAUUAUGCUGAAAUAUGAUAGAAAUUCGAUUCAAAACUUCCUACAUGGGCAUUUUCUAUUACAUUGAUUUUUAUCAACAUUCGACACGCUCCCUAUCAUAAUCAAUGCCCGCCAUACUUUAAAACAACUCCACAGACUAGUCUCCUCGAUCGUACAUCACUGAAACCUCUAUUGAAGAAGUGCAUUCGUCGUCCUUCAGAAUCGGAGCCUCCCACUUGAAAACACGGAAGUAGAACUGGCUGCUUUUAAAGUCUGCCAUUUGGUAUUUUUCACACCAUCAAAUUUUUGUAAAGAAUUACAGUAUAUGCAUAGUACCUUAUCGUAUUUAAGGACCGUCGCUUUGCGACAUUUCAGAUGAGAGCAGAAUCUCGGUAUGAAUGAAAUACAUGUAGUGUUAUCGGCCGUUGAGUAAUCACCAUCUUAGUACAGAAUAACAGUAUUCCCUGACAGGUAUCGUAUUCCAUGAUAUCACGACUUAUAUGCAUAAUUAAAACAAAUUAUGAAUACAAAGGGACUACCUUUAAUCAAAUACCAUUGAUGCCUUUUAUAACUGUAAAAUAAAAGCGACCCCAAUUUACUGAUGGAAUGCUGAAUAGCGUAUGUGCCUUUUGAUUUCGUACGUACUGGAGUUGUAAAUAUCAGGACCCUUGUAGCACUCUCGUAGAACGAUAAAUUGAAACACAAAAAUAUACGUUUCAUGUAAAUCAGCAAUUAGAGGGAAAGUAGUUCCUUCAAUUUGCGUUAAUCAGCUUUGAGUUAUAGGGACCUUGAGUCAUUUCAUUACAUGUCGAAGAUGUUGCGUAAUUGCGGAAGGAUGCAUGGAUGUAAAAGUCACGUGGCAUGGGUUUAAUUUUCUCACACGGAAAUCAUUAUUUGGGCAAACACUUUUGGCAAAUACGCCUUGGGUACAAAUCAGGUCCGUGUUGCAUUCUCUUCGUGUUUCGUGAACCGACUUUCUUGUGUUACUGUAGAAUCAUUGUUUUAGCGAGUACUUAAUUUGGCACAAUUACUCGUAAAUGUCAAAUUGCGUAAACAGGAAUCCGCGUCUCGUCUGUGUUAAACAUGGGAUUUUACAUGUAUUUUAGCAACAGAAAAUUAAAAGCGAGUAAUUUUAUUUCGCGAGUGAUGCCUCUCGCGAAAUUACGCGAUAAUAAAUCCCUCGCGUAUAUUCAGGAAUCUGCGGUGUUCUGUUACCAAGACGAUGCACAAUAGAGGACCUUUUGAAUAUGUAUUCUUUACCUUUCGGUAUUAAAUUGCACUGAUCAAUUGUGCAGUAGCUAAAGGUGUUGCUGAAGUGAACUGCAACACGAUUGUUUUAUCAUUGUUAUUUUUUCUCUCAAGACGAACUACAUCUCAUUUUGUUUUGGGAAACAUUGUCAUUGAGUCUCAUGCUGAAUGGGAGAAAGAUAGAAUUUCAUACCUGAGAGGGAGAGAGGGGAUUUUAUGUUGAGAGAGAAUUUGAGAGAGAGAGAGAGAGAGAGAGAGAGAGAGAGAGAGAGAGAGAGAGAGAGAAUUUCACACUGAGAGUGAAGAAA